GCCUAUAUAAAGAGAGCAGUUACCUGCUGCCAGGCCAGGCAGAAACAUUGCUUGGCUGCAAGGCUGCAUGCAAUAUCCUGGAGCUAGAUCCUGACCCAGACCCAGGAUGCACAAGAUGGGGACCGCUCAGAUGAGUCUCAUUGACUGAGUGGACACAGAUGAACAAAUACCAGCUGAUUGUAAAUUUCAGCAACUCUGGGAGGAAAAGAUUACAGUGUUAGCUCUGGCCGACAAGAACUCAGGAGGUUCCAGCACCGAUGCUGUCCCAAGGACAUGAAGAGAUGCUCCUGCUCGGAGGUUGUCCCAUAGCUGAAAAUGUUAGUGGGACCAGCAAGGUCAGAUGCUGAAGAGCCUUGUGGAGUUCUUCACAUGCUGAGCCAAUGCAAUGGACAGCUGGUUUUCUGCUAGGAGGCAGACCUGUAGAUAAGGGACUUGGGCUGAACCAAAAGCCACCCUACAGUACAUUUACCACAACUGUACACUUUGUCCACUUUGCAUAGAUUAUUUGAGAAAAUAAAGCUUGAACAGUUGUAACAUUUGU